rnacentral:lncRNA from 1 species
UGUCCGCCGGACUCGGAAUGGCCCCAGACUUUGCGGGCGGCCUCCGUGUGCCAAAAAUAGGCCACGGGCACAGCCGCGCCCAAAAAUCAGCCCCCGAAGGUCGGGGCGCCAAGACCCCCCAGCGGAAAAAUGGCCAAAAAACGGGUGGGCUAUAGUCUUCGUGGGGGGCGUGGGCGAAGUUCGUCCGCCGGACUCGGAAUCGCCCCAGACUUUGCGGGCGGACUCCGUGUGAUAAAAAUAGGCCACGGGCACAGCCGCGCCCAAAAAUCAGCCCCCGAAGGUCGGCGGGCCAAGACCCCCCAGCGGAAAAAUGGCCAAAAAUCGGGUGGGCUAUAUCCUUGCAGGGGGGCGUGGGCGAAGUUCGUCCGCCGGACUCCGAAUGGCCCCAGACUUUGCGGGCGGCCUCCGUGUGCCCAAAAUAGGCCACGGGAACAGCCGCGCCCAAAAAUCAGCCCCCGAAGGUCGGGAGGCCAAGACCCCCCAGAGGAAAAAUGGCCAAAAAACGGGUGGGCUAUAGCCUUGGUGGGGGGCGUGGGCGAAGUUCGUCCGGCGGACUCGGAAUGGCCCCAGACUUUGCAGGCGGCCUCCGUGUGCCAAAAAUAGGCCACGGCAACAGCCGCGCCCAAAAAUCAGCCCCCGAAGGUCGGCGGGCCAAGACCCCACAGCAGAAAAAUGGCCAAAAAUCGGGUGGGCUAUAACCUUCGUGGGGGGCGUGGGCGAAGUUCGUCCGCCGGACUCGGAAUGGCCCCAGACUUUGCGGGCGGCCUCCGUGUGCCAAAAAUAGGCCACGGGCACAGCCGCGCCCAAAAAUCAGCCCCCAAAGGUCGGGGCGCCGAGACCCCCCAGCGGAAAAAUGGCCAAAAAACGGGUGGGCUAUAGUCUUCGUGGGGGGCGUGGGCGAAGUUCGUCCGCCGGACUCAGAAUUGCCCC